rnacentral:rRNA from 1 species
CACGCCCUAAACGGUGCACACUAGGUUUUGGAGGAUUCGACCCCUUCAGGACCCAAGCUAACGCGUUAAGUGUGCCGCCUGAGGACUACGGCCGCAAGGCUAAAACUCAAAGGAAUUGACGGGGGCCCGCACAAGCGGUGGAGCAUGUGGCUUAAUUCGAUGCAACGCGAAGAACCUUACCAGGCCUUGACAUGCACUGGACCGACGCUGAAAGGCGUCUUUCCCGCAAGGGACCGGUGCACAGGUGC